CCAAAAAGAAUGAUAAUGUGAUGAAGGCAUCAUUUGUCAAAAGAAAUUCUAUGUUCCCUUUUCCACAGAGAGUAUUUCUCCACAGAUUUAAAACAGGAUUCAUUGAAUUUUAUUGCAUUCAUUUUACUAAAAUAUUUGUAUAUUAUCAAACUUAUUUGCAUAAUAUACUCUCCCCUCAUCUACUUCUCUGUUUAUUCAACAUUCAUUUAUUCCAAGAGCAAUCUUAUGACCAUUCCCCUAAUUUUACAAGCAAGAUUAAAUAAAUGAGACUAACUGCUAAUGAGUAUGGGACUUAGAGUAAUUAACAUUUUCUAAAAUUGAUUGUAGUAAUGGUUGCACAACUCUGAAUAUAAUGAGUCAUUGAAUUGUACAUUUCAAACAGGUGAAUUAUAUGGUAUAUGAAUUUUGUCACAGUAAAGCCAUUAUCUAAAAAAUUAAAUAAGGUAAGGAAAUAUGAAUGUGAAUAUAAAGCUUCUGCAUCAUGUCUCCAAUAAUUGAAUUCUCACCCAGCUGAAAACCAAAAUCAAUUUUGUGGGGCAACUUCCAAGCACAUUUAUAAAAGAAAGAAAAUAAUGUCUUCUAUCAGAACAUUAUCAUAAUAACUAUAACAAGAAUGUACUAAAUUUUUGUUUGAUGCCAGGUGCUGAGCUAAACAUUUAAAAUGAAUUCACUCAUUUAAUCUUAACUCUAAAGUUACUACUAUUUGCUACAGAUUUAGAUGAGAAACCCUAUAUUUAGUAGAAAGUAACAGAGAGUUUCCAGAGCUCAAAUCCCAGAUAUAUCUAAUAUAAUUGUUUUGAAUCUUCACUUCCCAAUAUUAGAGCAUAAUAUCAAGAAGAUUCUAUUGCCGUUGAUUGUGGCCAAAAAGUCUACACAUGCAGAUACAGAGUCAUACAAAGGCCAGAAAAGUAGUAUGUACACAUCAAAAUCAGCCUGCUCUGCUGAAAACCUAGAUCCAGAAAUCCUAAACUCCUAAAUCAAGAAAUCCUAAAUUUUUUGAGUUUACCUGGAAGUAAGGGGUUCUGACACAUCUUCCACUUAGGGCUGUCCUCAUGUUCAACAUCAGUUUAAAACCUCAUUAAUUCUUUGUUUAACCACUAUAAUAAUACUUUAGGUUCCAUGACACUUUGUAGUCAGUAAAGAGAUAUGGUAAUGGUUAAGACAACUUAUGGCCAGUCUUUUGAGAAUUAUCAAUUAUUGGUUCUGUAAGAAAUCCUGAAAUUUUAUUUUUAUAAGUAAGGGUACACUUCCCAGAGAAGCUAAGGCAAUUUUCCAAGGUAAAGCAACUCUUUUAAAAAAAAGAAAAGAAGGGAACAGUCUCAGGUGUCUUGAGCCGGGGUUCAGGAAUCCUUUUACCACAUUAUAUUGGUUAUUACUGGUUAAUAAGUGUUAGUUUCCUUUUAUGCCUACAAUCCCUGUUAAAUAUCCAACACUGACCCAGUAAUCAUUCACGAUGCUGUUUCCAUGGUCUCUGGUAUAGUCUGCUAUCUGAUUGCAAACUCUGGAAAUAAACUUGGCAUUAUUCCAGACUCUACUCCUGCCAAGUCCAAUUUCAUCAGGGAGUAAUAAAAAACAACAAUACAAAUUUUUGCUUUAAUGUUCAAAGAACACUUCUGGAUCAUUGAAUUUUGGAUAGCAUUUCAUCUGUGGGAUGCAAAUUAUUCUAAUUACAACUUUACCUUAUAAAAAAGAACACCUGCGUUUUCAGGGCAACAUCCCCUAAACAAUAUUGAAUUGAAUAAAUUAAAUUAUGCUCGCAUUUAAUAGUAGUUAAGAAAUGAUGAAAAAGAAAGAAUUAUAUUUGCUGCUAGGGAAACCACUGGAUGGUUAGGGAACUUUAUGGAAGGAACACUUUAGAAUUUUAUACUGUACGCAUUUGUACCAUGCGCAUUCAAUUUUUUUAAAAAAAUAAUAGCAUAUAAAUCUUGUACAACAGCUCUUCAGUAUUGACAUUCUAACAAUGAACUAUUUCCUUUAGAAAUGCAAUUAAACAGACAGGAACUGAGAUUUGCACUAAGUAUACGUAAUUUUUCCUGAUAACUAAAUCUUUCAGCUCUUAGAUUCAUCACUGUGUUUAUUUCACUAUUCCUUCUCUAAGUAUAAAUUCUAUAUAAAACAAUGGUGUUUGCCAGGCAUUAGACUAACUCUGUGGUACAGAGAACAUAGUCCCUUAUGGAGUUUUUAUAGUGUUAGAAGGAAUCAUUACUAAAGACAUCUCAUCUUUGCCUCUUCAAACGAAGGGUAAUCUCUGCACAUUCAUAGUCUUUUUCUUUUCUUUUUUUAUGGCUGCAUCUGUGGCAUAUGGAAAUUCCCAGGCAAGGGGUCGAAUUGGAGCCCAGCUGCAGGCUUACACCACAGCCACAGCAAUGCCUAAUCCAAGCCACAUCUGCAACCUACACCACAGCUCAUGGCAACACUAGAUCUGUAACACACUGAGAAUCCCUGAGCAAGGCCACUCUUGCUGAGUGUCCCCGAGCAAGGCCAGCGAUUGAACCCACAUCCUCAUGGAUACUAGUUGGGUUUGUUUCUGCCAAGCUACAAUGGAAACUCCCACAUUCAUAUGGUCUUAAUGACUUUUGAUGGACAUCUAAUAUUGAAAUAAAGCACUAGGGCUGUAUUUUUAACUUUGUGUCUCUUCCUUCUAAACAGAAGACUCUCAAUAUCUAGAGCACUGGAUGUUGUUAGAAGUGUUACCAAACUUCUAAUAUUUUUUAUUCUUACAGUUUUCAGUCUUCCAUGAGAGGUGAAACAAGAGAAGUAAACUUGAGAAAAAUUGUAUAUUCAAUAAGUGAGACUCUGAAAUAUGUCCCUGUAAAGAACCUGGCUACUUACAGGGACUCUGGGAAACUAUGGUGAUUCUAAGAGAACUUUGGGUUCAUAUAUUUGAUCCCCAUAAAUCACAUUACCAAGAGCUAACUUUUUCUCUUUGUGAGAUUAACAGAAGGGAAAAUUGGUAACUGGGCUGCUUUGACUGCCAUAACAAAAUACCAUAGAUUGGGUGGCUUAAACAACAGAAAUGUUAUUUCUCACCAUUUUGGAAGCUGAAAGCCCCAGAUAAAGGUCCAGCAGGUUUAAUUUCUGGUGAUACCUUUUUUCCUGACUUGCAGAUGGUCACCUUCUAGCUGUGUCCUCACAUGGCAGAAAGAAAGAACAAGCCCUCUAGUGUCUCUUCUUAUAAGGGCACUAACCCUAUUGUAUAAUGAAGGUGGGACACAAAUAUUCAGCCCACAGCAGGUAAAUUAAAUAAUCAUAUUUAUAUUUGUCAUAUCAUUUUUAUUUCUAUGUAAUUGAUUUUAUUAAUUAUGAUUUUAAUUAGUUAUAUUACUGAUAUUCUAUAAUGACAUGAAUAGAAAUUCUUCUGAAAUAUCCAUUUUAAUUGAAUUUUUAUUUUUUUAAUUUUAAUUUUUAUUUUUUAUGACCACACUUGUGGCACAUGAAAGUUCCCAGGCCAGAGAUUGAAGCUGAGCCACAGCUGUGACCUAAUGCCACAACUAUGGCAAUGCUGGAUCAUUUUAACUCGCUGCACUGGCCCAGAAUUGAACUCAUGCCUCUGCAGAGACUCAAGUUGCUGCAGUCAGAUUCUUAACCUACUGUGCCACAGUGGGAACUCUGAUGUAGUUAAUUUUUAGACCCAAGGCUUUUGGUUCCCUGUCUCCCUAUGUAUAUAUUUAAUGCUAUAGACAUCUAUAAGUACAGAAAUAACCUUUACUAUUAUCAAAAAAGUGUCUCCCAAGGUCAGAGUAAAAAGCUGUGUUGAGCAUUUUUGUUGUGAGAUUGAUAUUACUGUUUGAUGAGGUGAAUGAAAGAGCAAAAUUCCCUGAUGAAGUUUGUGUCUCAGUACAGUCUCCAAAUAAGAACGAGGCUUGGUUGCUAUGAAGCUUUCCCCUGGGGUUUUCUUUAAAAGGGCUUGUCAUGGUAGCACAGGCAUAUUGACAUCAGUUUGUUGAAAACAGUAAAUUCUAGAGAUGUAGGACUUGAUUUUCAAAGUAGGAGUAAACUCAUCAGUCAUAGUAAACACUUUCAGUCAUAGUGAUAACAAAGUAAAAGCAGUACUUUCAUCUGGUAAAAUUAAAGUUUUGGAAACCAGUGUGGACAUUUUGCAAGUCAAGUAUAGAUUUGACUCGAUGAGGGCACAUGGGUAAUGAUGAAAGUAAUGAGGGGGUAGAAAGAAAGACCAACAUUUAUGGAGUGCCUACUCUCAGCCAGGCAUCAUGCUUUCCAUUACACUGGUUGCAUGUCAAAACCAUCUGGGAGACAUUUAAAUGCAUGCACACAUCUAGGUGUCACUCCCAGAGCCCCCCAGAUUCUCUGUGGGAAGGUCCAAGUAAAUCUCUUUAAAAUCUCUUCAGGGAGUUCCCUGGCAGUCUAGUGGCUAGGACUCAUUGCUUUCGCUGCUGCAGCCAGGGUUCAGUUUCUGAUCUGAGAAUUCAGAACUCACAUCAAACUGCUGCGUGUCAUGGCCAAACAAACAAACAAACAAAAAUUAAAAAAGAAAUAAAAGCUUUUCAGAGCCUCCUCCUCUGUUAUGGCAAGUGUAUCACUAUUUACCCAGGAGACUUUCUCCCCAGAAUUCCUACAGGGAGGCCUCCACUCCUUCUCUUCCCCACUUCUCCUCCUCCAGCCUGGCCACCUUCAUAUAACAAACCCCAGGGAAGAGAUAAGUGGUUAUAGCAGACAUCUGUACCCAGCUCCUGUGACAGCCUUCUGUUGUAUUCUCAAAAGUCUAGAUUUAAAUCAAAACAUAUUUAAAAUUACCUUUUUUCUCUUCUCAUCUCUGCUCUACUGAAUUCCUCCAAGGCCGUGUAGGCACCUCUGUUUACAGAGGGAAUACCAGGAGGUGCAGACAGGAAAGAGCUGCACACAGUUCAAUUCUGCACAAUUCUUCUUCACUACAACAAAUGGUCUGAGUCAGGGUAUGAUUCCAGGUCUAUUGCUGUACUAUGCCUUGCUGCCAAGCACUGCAAGCUGUCUAGGAAAAAAGCAGUUAAAUUAAUAGUGACUUUUGCUCCUUCUUUUCUAAGACAAAAAAGAAAUGAGUCAUUAUUUCACCUACUCAGAAAUAUACCUGAAAUAUUAAGAUAUAUGUUGCAGUAGUCGUAGCAAUAUCUUGAUCUUGAGCUAGGAGGCUCUCACCACAGGUCUCGUUUUCAUCACACAUCUCCAAAUCCUGACCUCCUAUUUUUGGCCCAACUCAGAUUGUAAAAAUCUAACAUCACCCUUUCUUACAGAUCUUUCUCUCCCACUUCUGCCUUUUUGAAGGUUCUCUUAUGCCUCUUACCUGUGGUCAAAGCUCCCUUUUAUCACAGCACAAUUUGUAAAGUGUUAGCUUCCAAGAAUAGAAGAAUCAAGUCAAUCCAAUUAAAAACCUGUAUGUAUCACAAUUCUGAAUCCCUUUUCAAAAUUGACAUCUCCUCAGUAUGUAUGCUUUCUUAAUCUGUGUUCUUUUAAAGUUUUAAAUGCCUGUAGUAUUGUAUUGCCCUCUGUUCUUUUCCCUGGAGCUCCUCUAAAAUAUGUCUGUUACGAUUUUCUGGGAACAAUGAUUCUCA
rnacentral:lncRNA from 1 species